rnacentral:rRNA from 1 species
GACGAACGCUGGCGGCGUGCUUAACACAUGCAAGUCGAACGGAAAGGCCCCUUCGGGGGUACUCGAGUGGCGCACGGGUGAGUAACACGUGAGUAACCUGCCCUUGACUUCGGGAUAACUUCCGGAAACUGGGGCUAAUACCUGAUAGGAAUCCUUGCUGCAUGGUGGGGGUUGGAAAGCUUCGGCGGUGUUGGAUGGACUCGCGGCUUAUCAGCUUGUUGGUGGGGUAGUGGCUUACCAAGGCUUUGACGGGUAGCCGGCCUGAGAGGGCGACCGGCCACAUUGGGACUGAGGUACGGCCCAGACUCCUACGGGGGGCAGCAGUGGGGAAUAUUGCACAAUGGGCGGAAGCCUGAUGCAGCAACGCCGCGGGCGGGAUGACGGCCUUCGGGUUGUAAACCGCUUUCAGCAGGGGCGAAGCUUGUGGUGACGGUACCUGCAGAAGAAGCACCGGCUAACUACGUG